rnacentral:lncRNA from 1 species
AUGCAGAAAAAGGGAACAACGGAUGAGUCAUCUCCUUCCUGUCUGACUUUCCCAGUGCUCUGGUCUUGCUCUGUUCUCUUGACUUGCUUUGCACACUCUCCCUUCCUCUCUCUCUCUCCCUCUCCCUCUCUCUCUUUCCCUCCCUCCCUCUCUUCCCCCUCUCUUUUCUCCCUCACCCUUGCUCCUCUUUCCCUUUUAUUCACAAAGCUUUUGCCACAUUGCACAAAUGCAAAGCCUUCAUUGUUUACUACAUUAAUUUUGAACGUUAAAAUAGGCCACCGAAGGAAGAAGUAUCACACAGCUCCCCGAACAACUACAGCCCCAAGUGGAAAUGAAAAAGCUGUUCCAGAUAGGAAAAAAAGGAGGAAGACUCUGUUACUGAAGUCACAGUCUGUACCCCAAGAAGCCAAGAUCAGCCACACAUCCUUGAGAAGUCAAUUAAAGCAGCCAAAUGAAUAGAAAAAAGCAUCAAAGGGAGAUGGACUCGAUGCAGAGAUGCUGAAAAGAGGGACAGAGACAUCCAGUGACUGCACCGAAGUCUAUCUUCAAGGCCCAGAAGGACACUAAAGUUUAAAUGGAGUAUUAUGGAUAUGCUCAUCUAAGCAAUCCCAGUCAAGGUGUGUGUCUGCCAACCACUGACCCAUCCUUGUCCCAGUAAGGCUGUAAGUGUCUUUCUUAGAGAGAAAAGUCCUCUGCUCCUGCUUUCCCAGGCUUUUCUUCUCCUGGCAUGACAUUCUUGGGAAAAUUUCAAUUUGGGGGGGGUCUGUUAUUUUAAUAGUCUGAUAGCUAAAGUGUCUUUUUUGGGGGGGGGUGUUCAAGACAGGGUUUCUCUGUAGUUUUUGGAGCCUGUCCUGGAACUCACUCUGUAGAUCAGGCUGGCCUCAAACUCACAGAGAUCCACCUGCCUCUUCCUCCUGAGUGCUGGGAUUAAAGGCAUGUGCCACCACAGCCCGGCUUGCUAAAUGUCUCUUUAGAAUAUAUUCGUUUCUUCCAGGUCAAUUAUAUUUGGAUUUCUGUGUAUUACCUGGUUUUUCUCUGUAUCAAUGAGAUGCAAAUAGAAUCUUUUUAGAACCUAUGAAGUUAGUGCACCCAUGCAAAAGCUUUUCAGACAGCCCAAAAAAGUUGUAAUAAAAAAAAAAAAAACAGACA